AGGUUCUAAAUCUGUUACUGAUUUUAUGCACGGUAUUCGCGUGAUUGUGGCUGAAUUAUCUCUCCUGGGUGUUACUGUUGAUUCUGAGGAUCUUGUCAUUAAGGAAAUGGUCUUGAUGAUCCGUACUUUUGUGAGCAAUACGAGAAAAUUACUUCUCCCAAAACUCUCUACACAUUCUAUUCUCCAAAAUCUGCGAGUUACAGGACAUGUACCUGGAUGAUGAAAAUAGAAGAAGAAAUAAACAGCAGUACCAAACAGCAACACAAACACCCAGUAACUGACCCCAAAACAGCUUAAUAGCAACCAAAUAUCUAUCGAAACACAAGCAGAAACACCCCUAGAAUUCAGUAAUCAAGAACUGAACUCUAUUCAGUUUUCAAUGAUUGAAGAAGAACCAAAUGAAGAACCUAAGAAGACUGAUUUUCUAAAGUUCCUAACAUUCUCUUUGUGUGACCUUUGAGUUUGAUUUCCAAAAGCCAAACAGAAGAACAAAAACUGGACUGAUUCUUAUGACCCUUUUUCAACUUAUUUUUAAAUGUGCGGCCUCUCAAAGAUGACUUCAAAAGUCACCCCUUUAACGUCUCAAAAAUGAUCAAGCCUUCUCAGCCUAUCAUUUGAAUCAAUGUUUUCGACCUCUAAACUCUUAUUUCCCAUUCAAGUCCCUCAAAAAUCUGUUUUUCCUAUGCUCUCACUCCCCUCAAAUUCUUAAACCCUAAACCCUUUAUGAAUUCUUAGUGUCUUUUAGAUGUUCAAACUUAAAGCCCUUCUCCAAAAAUGUUCUCCCCAAUCUCUAUCCUAAGUCCCUCUAUUUAUAUCCAAAAGAAACCCUUUCCAGCCCCCCUUUUCCUUUUACAGUUGUCAAAAAAAACUUUUAUUAUUACCCCAUGCCUCUUUUUACUUUCCAGCUUCUAUAUUCCUCAACUAUGUGAACCCUUCAGCUUUUCAAUAUUACCUAUUGUUUCUGAUUUCCAAUUUAGUAAAAACGUUCAACAGAUCAUUACUCUCAUAACCCAUUAGAGCUCUACUCAUUACUUAAUGCCUCCCUCUCCCCCUCCUCAUUAAUAAACUAAAGCAUUAGUUUAAAAGCAUAUCAGGACCCCACUGGAUAGACCACUCGAGUUUGAACCAUCUUCAAACUUUCAGUCUUUCUAAAAUACCCUUGACAACCCCUGUGAUUUACCCUAUGACCCCCUACUGUACCUCAUCAGUUAUAACCAAUUCAAACCUAAUCAAUUUAAACUAAGUAAUCUCAUUACUGACUCCUAAUCAACAUAACCACAUCAAAACUGAAUUCAAACUAAAAACACCAACUAUAACCAAUCCUUAACACAAUCAAGCAACAUAAUCAAUCACCUACUAAAACAGGUGAACUUAAACCAACUAGACCAAUAUACUUAAUUGAAUUAGCAAACAAAAGAAGAAACAGCCAGAAAAGCUUUAAGGGGAUUGACAGAUUCAAAUGACUAAUCAUUUCAGUUCAAUGUGAUGAACUGCAUAUACCAACAGGUUUAUUUCAACACAAAAUUAGAAAAGAAAAGAAAUAGGAGGGUAAACCUACUGGAGUAAACAAAAAAAUUAAAUUAUUAUCAUGCUAAUCUAAUAUUCAAGCAUAACAGACUACUCGAUGCCAGUUAUUCAAUCGAUUACACAAAUUAGAACGUAUAAUUGUCAACAAUCAGAAAACUUGGACCAAAUAAAAGGUCUAAUGGAGAGGAAGAAGAGCAAUAAAUAAAAAAAUGAAUUAAAAACCUAUUUUAGGCAAACGAUUAGCUAUUCAGACGAACAUUGAAGUAUUAAUCUAACAAAAAUCAGAAAGGGAGGAGGAUUAAGAACCUAUGAUUAAUUUAAACUUAAAACGUACGAAAAGCUAAUUAAAACUUAACACAAACAAACGAACAUAUAUAUAGAAAAAGAAAAAGAAGACAUUCAAGAGAGCUUACUGAUUUUUCGGAUUCCAAACGACAUGCUCUUCGAAGUCGAUUUCCAGUUAGUAUUAUAUGUCUAUUUCGUCAGAAAUAGGCCUAUACUACUAACUAGAAACCAACUUGACCCUGACGACGUCGAAGCAGUCCCGAACCCCUGAACCUAGAUCCGUCAUUUGAUGAGUUUAACUUGGAUUUGGACCAGAUUGGUCAAGAAUAAGGGGCGAGGGUGGUUUGGUGGAUAGCUGGUGUGUUUUUGGGGUGGAUUGGACGACCUAAGAUUUUUGCUCGAAUCAUCGAUUGGGAUUCGAGACGGUUCGUGAUGAUUGGAGUUUAACAGUGGACGUAUUUGGAUUGAGGGGGUCGGAUGGUCAAGGGGUGUUAUUUUCAUGGCCAUCAGCAUCGUUGCCGCGGGCUUUCAGGCGAAGGCAUACGAGGGUGGCUAGGGUUCUUCAGGGGUUGUUUAGUUCUCUGGUUUGGGAGACGAAGAGGGACGGGGGGUUCUGAAGGGGGAAGGGUCUUGUCUAGGAAUAUAUACUAGAUUAAGGACUCAAUCCAGUC
rnacentral:lncRNA from 1 species